rnacentral:rRNA from 1 species
AUUGAACGCUGGCGGCAGGCCUAACACAUGCAAGUCGAACGGUAGCACAGAGAGCUUGCUCUUGGGUGACGAGUGGCGGACGGGUGAGUAAUGUCUGGGAAACUGCCCGAUGGAGGGGGAUAACUACUGGAAACGGUAGCUAAUACCGCAUAACGUCUUCGGACCAAAGUGGUGGACCUUCGGGCCUCACCGCAUAGGAUGUGCCCAGAUGGGAUUAGCUAGUAGGUGGGGUAAUGGCUCACCUAGGCGACGAUCCCUAGCUGGUCUGAGAGGAUGACCAGCCACACUGGAACUGAGACACGGUCCAGACUCCUACGGGAGGCAGCAGUGGGGAAUAUUGCACAAUGGGCGCAAGCCUGAUGCAGCCAUGCCGCGUGUAUGAAGAAGGCCUUCGGGUUGUAAAGUACUUUCAGCGGGGAGGAAGGCGGUAAGGUUAAUAACCUUGCCGAUUGACGUUACCCGCAGAAGAAGCACCGGCUAACUCCGUGCCAGCAGCCGCUGUAAAAC